rnacentral:lncRNA from 1 species
GAUCGAUGUUCAUGCUGUUGAUCACUGGAUUGUCUGGUCCAGACUCGAUUAUUUACAGACAGUCACCAUAUAGCUGCAAUAUUGCUGAGAGCGGCGUAAAUCUAAAUUCACUCACCCACAUGACAACAUGCUAUCAUGUAAUUACAUCACCAAUUAGCACCUGAAUCACGGUUCACCUUUAGGUAUUUCCUAUGUUUAGGUGAAUAAUUGACCUGUCUUUGCGUGUGUUUAUGACAAAUGCCACCAAUGCGGCCUACGCUCACUACUUUGCGAACAGCUGAUAUCUUCACUAUUUGAUAGUUUUACAAAUACAUGUUCAUUGGAAGUACAGUAUUGACAAACUUAAUGGAUACCAACUUCUUUUAUUCCGUGAGUGCGACGUUCGAUAGAGAUUCGUGUACCGUUGUCCAUAAUAUAUGAGGAUGUUGUAGUCAACAUCGUAAAGCAAGUUUGUAUUUUUGAAUUUGGUUUCUGGAAACAUUUCUUAUGAAAACCAAACGUCACGAGCCAGUUAUAAACUCCGCCUCAUUACAAGUACUUGACCGCUCACGAAAUGUCGACCAUUCCUCUAAGAAAGAUUUAUGUACUUGCAAAAAUAUAACAACGUUUAGCUAUCGUGUUAAGUGGUGCUCAAUUCGAAACCUGCUCAACUUGAAACAUGACCUUUCUUGAAGACCAGAUGAAAAUUACCAAUGCUCAGAUUACCAAAUUCUUGCUCAGAAUUUUCAUCAUGGUUUUCUUGAGAAUAGUGUAACCUGUACUAACAUGAAUAUACAUUCCUAGUAUGUAUUUGUAAAGACAUUUUAUAUGGUUUAUGCAUCGACCCGUCCUAUACUACUGUCGUCAGGAUCUGCGGGAGUUCACGUAUUUUAUUUGAAUACCCAAACGUAUAUUUUGUAUCAUGAACGUUGUCCAAAUUUGGUACGACGUAGCUGUAGCAAGCACGAACCUGUGCUGGACAUGGUGUUGGUGUUCAUUGUCGUUAACACCAAGACCAAGAUGAAUGCAACUUUUCUUCUGAUGUUCAUUAAUACUACAGACAUUAGAUGGUACUGUCAGGCAUGGAUCAUUUAAACAUUCAAUAGUACUUAGCAUUCUUGUAGACCAGAACUAUUCCAUCAUUGCUCAGAUUACCAAAUUAUUGCUCAUGUUUAUACCACAUUGCAAUCGUGAAUGUCGUAGCGUCCUGGGCCCUGAUCCAUAAAGCGUUCGUAACGUUACGACCUGUCUUAACUCUGUAGUUUACCAAAGGCUUACGAAUGUUGUAGCGCUACGAAUGCUUUGUGAAUGGGACCCUGUGACACGUUUCACAAAGCUAUCGUAGCGCUACGACCGGUUGUAAGUCUAUAGACUACCAUAGACUUACGAAUAUUGUAGCGCUACGAAUGCUCUGUCAGGGGGGACCAUGGUUCAGAACUUGGACGCCCUACAAAUCGGGCGAUUAACAUUUCAGGAAGGAUGGCUGUGUAUGCUAGAUAUGCUAUGACUUGCUGUCAGUCUUGUUCUUUAGGGUUUACACCGUUCAGGUAGUGCUGGGUGUUUUACUGUCCGAGGCUGCCGAAGGGUCACCUCAUACUGGCUUUUAUAAUGUUGACAUUAAAUAUGUCAAGAUGAAUAAGAAAUGUCUCCGUCGGGCCCAAGUGUCGGUGUCAGGAUAUUUCGUUAUAUGUGAUGGUGGUUAUAUGUGAGACAUCCACGCCGAUGUUGAACUCGGAAUGGGCCGAACACGGUGUUUCACAUGUAAAUCACUCUUUGCUUAUGUCUGAAUGUCUUUUAUUUCAUGAUGUAAACUUUUAAUGUAUAUAAGCAUUGAUGACGUGCUUUAAUAAAAGAUAGUGUCAUUGGA